rnacentral:tRNA from 1 species
CGGCAUGUAGCGCAGCAUGGUAGCGCACCGUCAUGGGGUGUCGGGGGUCGGAGGUUCGAAUCCUCUCAUGCCGA